ACCGCACCUGGCCUGUUUGUGCAUUUUAAAUGUUUUCUCUUUAUGUUUAUCUGUUCUCAAAAUGAAUGAUUUGCUCUUGAAUAAGAAACAGCAAGAACCUUACAAAGGAACAAAAGUUAUUUUAAAAAUUAGAAAACAAACCAACUCCAAUCUAAGAUAGAGAUACAAAAACACAGGCAUGGACACAGAUGGGGCAGACAAAUUUCUCAGAACAGAUACAGUGAUAAGACACACACACACCUGCCUAAUUCACAUGGCUGACGUAGGCAAGGCUGGGGAGUUGCAGGGGGUGGGGGUUUGCCAAGUUUCCAGAAACACUGGAGUCUGGGUGUUGGGGUGGCUGCUGGAGCUUCUGGGCAGGUUGGGUGGGCUGAGGAGAGUAGAGGGAGCGGCCAGGGGCUCAAGAGCCUGAGUGACAGGCCUGGCUGUACCCACACCCAGCCUGUACCUCCUGGGACAGGGCAGGGCUCCUAAUCCCAGCUCCCCAGUGCAGGCAAGGCUGAGGAGCCUGCCGGGGCAACUCUUCCCCAUCCCAGCAGUGGAGGAGACAGCAGGGUCCACAGCUGGUUGGGGGGCUUCCUGGCAACCACUUCCAGGCUGAGGCCUUGCCAGCUGCCUACAGACCCCACUUAGGAAGCCAGGCCUGUGGUGGCUCAUACAGGGUCCCUCUGUCCUUGUCCUUCUGAAAUGCAGGCACAGCCACAGCCUUGCCACUCACUUGCUGGGCCUGUUUCCCUGGCUGUACGGAGAAGAUGAGAAUCGCAUCCUGGCUUGUCUAGACGGUGUGUGAGAAGAUGCCUCAUUCACAUGGCUGAGGACUACCUGAUGCAUUGGAUGUAGAAGAUGAGGGAAUGCAGAAUGCUCCGGAGUAUUGUCCUGAGAACCAGGAGAAAACAAGAUGGAACCCAAUGACUGGCCACCACGGACAGAUGCAAGGGAGAAGGAGAAGGGCCCCCAGUGGGAAAAGGUGAGUUGGGGCACGUUUAAAGAGCUCCCAAGGCUUAGGGCUUGGAGCUUGGUGGUGAAGGGAGAAGUCUAGAGGCAAGAGGCUCUAGACUGAAAGAGUGGCUGAAAGACGGGCAACUGCUUAGGCAGCAGCCAGGGUUGAGAACAAAGGUUGCCAUGACCUUUGAGGAACAGGAGGGCAACCUGAAUAGGGCACAGGACCCAUCCCUAAUUCUUCCUCUAUGGUGGGUGCUAUGGACAUUGCAACAGGCAACUUGAACCCGAGGAAAGAAUCCUUGAACUCCUUGCAAGUGACUACCUGGCUAAUCCUCGGACAGACACUCUUCUCCAGUUAUGGCCUUCACUGCCUUGCCCUUCUGAAAUUAAGGGGACGGUAAGGGUGGUAAGGGGGUUUCAGUUACAGGAGGAAAUUAAGGCUUAAAAAGGCAAAGCACAAAAUCCUUAUUUAGAUUUUGAUUCAAACAAAGAAACCAUUAAGAGAGAGAGAAAAAAAUGAGGACAUUAUGAAACAAUUAGAAUUUUCAGAUUUAGAAAUGACUAGAUAUUUGAUGAUAAGACACUACUAACAUUUUAUACAUGGUAAUAGUAUUGUGCAGUAUGUUAAAAGAAGUCAUUAUCUUCUAGAAAUACAUUUUAAUGGACAUAAUAAAAUAUUUAUGGGUAUAAUGCAGUGUCUGCCAUUUGCCUCAAAAUAAUGAUGGAGUUGGAGAAGUUGGAUAAGGUUAUGAAUGGAAGAAGAUUGGCUAUGAGUUGGUCAUUGCUGAGACUGAGUGAUGAAUAGGACAUGGUUGUUAGUCAAAUUAUUUUAUUUUUGCACAUGUUUAAAACUGCAUAAUGUUGAGGUCUAGCAACUUGUCUGUUUCCAUGGCUAGUAAGUGACAAAGGUGAAAGGGACCUGAGGGCUGUUUGUUCCUUGAGCCUGUGCUCUUGAUGACUUUACUCCUCUAUGUCCUUUCAACCCACCUGGGGCAAGGAACGUCCUCCCCAGCAUCCCCCACAUGUGCUCUUUUUUCUGGACACCUUCUGAGUCAGGCUAUUUCACUGGAAGAUUCCUCUCCACGAUGAGCUGUAACUUUGAUCCCCUCAUCCUGUUUCUUGUCAGAGAAGCUUCCCCUGACCACUGCCACCCCAGGCUAGGGUACGUAGACUAUGCUAAGCUUCUAAAGUGAUCUAUAGACUCCUUGAUGGGACUCAUCACAUGGACAGUUAAUUACCUCUUCAGUGUCCACCUUCUCCUCUUGGCUACAGCCCCAUGGAGUCAGGGUUGCCUGCUACAUUUACUGCAGUGUAUAGCUCAUUGACCAGACAAUUUGCCUUAGGUAUAUAAAUGCAGAAGGGGUUAGCUCUCAGUAUGGCCAGGUCACUAUAUAAGGUUGAGUUCCCUGGAAGGUUGGUACCCUAGGAGGCCCAGGUCAGAAUAGAAUCCUCAGUCCUUAGUCCACGGUGCUUGCUUUGGGUUAGAGAUGUAUGUGGUGAGUGGGUGCAUGGGGAACAGUGCAAGAAUUAGAUUACUUCCAUGGGGUUUGACAUUUUAGAAGAAACUGAGUAUUGCCAGUUAUUUUUCAAGGCAAUAGAAAAGGAAAAACAGUGAAUGCCAACAUGACAUGUCUUAUCUUUCUGAACCCACCUAGGGCACUUUGUGCCUAGAUUUUCUUAGAAUUGCUAAAGGGUGGCUUUGCCAAUUUAUGCGCUUUCUGUUUUUGUUUUCUCUGGGAAAGCUUCUGGGUUUUGGCCAAAGGGCCUGGAAUUGCAUGCGGUGGUCCCUAGGAUGCCAGAUGAGUGUAGAAAACUAGCUGGGAUGUGCUGUGGAGGGCGCCCUGUCUGAAAUCACAGCCCACUUUUGUGAUUUGGUUCUUAGGGACAGGAGGACAUGUGGGCUUACAGAAAUUGUCACACUUGAACUGUUCAAAUAAAAGUUGUCUCAUGGUAGUGCUUGCUGAAUUUUCAAUGAUAAUAUUUAUUCAUUUUUGCAUUUUCAUUAUGUAAAUUCAAAGAUAAGUUACGUUUAAAAGGAAACUUAAAGAUGGAGUGCAGUGGCUCAUGC